GGGAUCGUGGGGUAGCUUGGUAACCUUCGGGCCUUGGGUGCCCGUACCCUCGGUUCAAAUCCGAGCGAUCCCA
rnacentral:tRNA from 1 species